GGUUAUGGCUCAGUGGUAGAGAACUUGCCCAGCACGUGUGAGGCCCUGGGUUCAAUCCUCAGCACCA
rnacentral:tRNA from 1 species